GACUUGACUGAUUACUUGUGAGUGCAUAACCUAGCAUACCGAGCAAACCAAGGUGAGUUCACACAGCCAAGGCAUGGGGUUCCCAGGGUCGUUAGAUACAUGGAGCUUGCACAGGGAGGAGCAGGUCGUUGUGGAGCAUGGAUUAUGAAUGCUUAAAUAAACACUUAUAACAAUUCAUACAUUACUAUUUAUGUUGGGUUUACUUACAAGCUUCCGCUACUUAAACAAUGUUUGGUUUUGAACAUCAAUCAUGUCGUGAUGAAUUACAUUAUCUAUUUUUAUUAUUA
rnacentral:lncRNA from 1 species